AAUAUGUGACAUGGGUGGCAACCCUGUUCCAGCCAGGCCGCGAGAGUGAAGAAGGUAUUCGGAUUGUAAAGCACUUUAAGUAGAGAGGAAGGGCUUUAGAUUAAUACCCUGAAGACUUGACUAUACCAACAGAAUAAGCACCGGCUAACACUGUGCCAGCAGCCGCGGUAAUACAGAGGGUGCAAGCGUUAACCGGAAUUACUGGGCGUAAAGCGCGCGUAGGUGGUUCAGUAAGAUGGGUAUGAGAUCCCCGGGCUUAACCUGGGAACUGCUUUCAUAACUGCUGAGCUAGAGUACGGUAGAGGGUAGUGGAAUUUCCUGUGUAGCGGUGAAAUGCGUAGAUAUAGGAAGGAACACCAGUGGCGAAGGCGACUACCUGGACUGAUACUGACACUGAGGUGCGAAAGCGUGGGGAGCAAACA
rnacentral:rRNA from 1 species